UGGGGAAUAUUGCACAAUGGGCGCAAGCCUGAUGCAGCCAUGCCGCGUGUAUGAAGAAGGCCUUCGGGUUGUAAAGUACUUUCAGCGGGGAGGAAGGCGAUAAGGUUAAUAACCUUGUCGAUUGACGUUACCCGCAGAAGAAGCACCGGCUAACUCCGUGCCAGCAGCCGCGGUAAUACGGAGGGUGCAAGCGUUAAUCGGAAUUACUGGGCGUAAAGCGCACGCAGGCGGUCUGUCAAGUCGGAUGUGAAAUCCCCGGGCUCAACCUGGGAACUGCAUUCGAAACUGGCAGGCUAGAGUCUUGUAGAGGGGGGUAGAAUUCCAGGUGUGGCGGUGAAAUGCGUAGAGAUCUGGAGGAAUACCGGUGGCGAAGGCGGCCCCCUGGACAAAGACUGACGCUCAGGUGCGAAAGCGUGGGGAGCAAACA
rnacentral:rRNA from 1 species